rnacentral:lncRNA from 1 species
UCUGAGCAAGGCAGCAUGCUAAGUAAAGAUUUACUCCUAACAUUUCACUUGGCAAAUAAAUAAAUAAAUAAAUAACACAACUGCAGCCAAAAGUUUAAUGACUUCAAAAACCUGUCACAAAACUAUGCAAACAACUUCAGUAAAAUGUCACACAUUCAUCCUUACUAGUCUGAUUUCAGUGCACACCACGCCUUCUGCAAAUAAUCCCCAUUCCAUGAUUUUUUUUCUUGUUAAAAAAGAAAGAAAGCUGAGAAUCAGCAGGAAAAGCAUUGCUCAAAGUGUUCAUUUUGCCAGGGGCUUACGCAUCAAGUAAUGUCUUUGAACAUCCUCAUCAGAAAGGUAGAUAGGAAUUCUCAUUAUGUCUCUAUAGCAACCUAACAUUUAUCUCAAAUUCCUAUUUGGCCAGCAACCAAAGCUAUAGUCAAGUCAAAUUAGGGGUUUCCCUGGAAAUCCAGAGUUUUCUGAUUCACAUUAUAUUUUUAGGUUCAGUUCAGAAGUUGUUGGUUUUUUUUUUUUUCUUUUCCUUCCUCUUUCCAGGUGAGUUGUAGCAUAAAGGAGGUGACGGUCUUUGACCAGGGGCAUGUUCUCUUAGCGUUCCUGAAGCCCUCUUGUCUGGCUCUCAGUAAUUGUGUCUCCAAGCUGGCUUCCUGUAAUAUAUCUGUGGCAGUUCACUUUUUAUUAAUGUAACAGAAUAAUCAAGCAGGCUAACUGUAUAGGGAUAAGAGGUUUAUUUAACUCAUACUUAUGCCCACUCAAGGGCCAAGACUAUACAAUUACCCACUGGUCACCACAAUGACAGGAAAACACUGGUAGGGACGAUUCCACCUCAGGAUAGGAAGUGAGAGGGUGAUUCAGGAGUCAGCUUUACCCUUAUAACAACUUACUCUUAAGACUCCACAGUCCCCAUAAGAACACUUCAAUUCCUCAAAAAGCAGAUGACCUAUUGACCAAAAGUCCUUCCACAAGGCUACAACUCUCAGUGCGACCACACUGGGGCCAAGUUCCUAAUGUGUGGACCCCCCCUCAGAAAUUAUAUCUAAACUACAGAAACAACAUCUCUCCAUCCAGUUCCCACAGCAGCAUCUAUGGUGGUGUUCAUGGAUGGAUUACUGUCUCAGACAACUGACCCUUCCUAGGCCUGCAAGUGCUUUCAGCUCCCUCCAGGCCCAUCCCAGGGACCAGGAAACCCUCUGAGCUCUCACAGAGGUUACCCCUUAUUGCUGCUGCCCAACCCUGCCAAUGCAGAGACUUCCUGUACUUUAGCGGGUAUACAGCGCACACGUGAGUGAGAAGCGGGGUAAAAUGCUGACAAGCCUGUGUGGACCUGGGCGCCUAGACAGAAUAACGUUCAGCCAAAGAUGCUGAGAGUUAUGGCACCCAGAGCCUGUGAUUGUGUCAAAGUAGCACUGGUCUAAGAUGCUCAUUCAAUUAAGAUUCUUUCCGAUUAGCCGCAAGGUAAGAAACCGCGGAACCAUCAGUGUCAGGAAGAUUCCGGAGAGCAUCCAUCCUCCAUCGCUUUGUGUGUGGAAGUGCAGGAGAGGCAAAGGGAUACACACUGUUUCUAGAAGCUGGACAAACUAAGGACACGGAUUUUUCCCUGGGAGUCUCCAGGAAGGAAUGCAGAACUAGAGUACCUUGGUUUCAGCCCAGUGAGACCUUUGGAGGGCUUCUGACCUCUGGAGCUGUAAGAUAAUAAUAAAUUUGUGUUGUUUUAAGCC